rnacentral:rRNA from 1 species
CACGAGGUUAGCCGGUGCUUAUUCUUUGGGUACCGUCAUCCCAACCAGGUAUUAGCCGGCUGGAUUUCUUUCCCAACAAAAGGGCUUUACAACCCGAAGGCCUUCUUCACCCACGCGGUAUGGCUGGAUCAGGCUUGCGCCCAUUGUCCAAUAUUCCCCACUGCUGCCUCCCGUAGGAGUCUGGACCGUGUCUCAGUUCCAGUGUGGCUGAUCAUCCUCUCAGACCAGCUACGGAUCGUCGCCUUGGUGGGCCUUUACCCCGCCAACUAGCUAAUCCGACAUCGGCUCAUUCAAUCGCGCAAGGUCCGAAGAUCCCCUGCUUUCACCCGUAGGUCGUAUGCGGUAUUAGCGUAAGUUUCCCUACGUUAUCCCCCACGAAAAAGUAGAUUCCGAUGUAUUCCUCACCCGUCCGCCACUCGCCACCCAUAAGAGCAAGCUCUUACUGUGCUGCCGUUCGACUUGCAUGUGUUAGGCCUACCGCCAGCGUUCACUGUGAGCCAGGAUCAAACUCU